GGCAGCCUAUAGCCUAGUGGCUAAGGUGCAUGACUGGGAUGCCUGAGGUUGGCGGUUCAAGAGUGGCUGUUGCUG